rnacentral:rRNA from 1 species
AUUGAACGCUGGCGGCAUGCCUUACACAUGCAAGUCGAACGAUGAACCUUAGCUUGCUAAGGGAAUUAGUGGCGAACGGGUGAGUAAUAUAUCGGAACGUAUCCGUUAAUGGGGGAUAACUAGUCGAAAGAUUGGCUAAUACCGCAUACGUCCUACGGGAGAAAGCUAGGGAUCUUCGGACCUGGCGUUAAUGGAGCGGCCGAUAUCUGAUUAGCUAGUUGGUGAGGUAAAGGCUCACCAAGGGGACGAUCAGUAGCUGGUCUGAGAGGACGACAAGCCAAACUGGAACUGAGACACGGUCCAGACUCCUACGGGAGGCAGCAGUGGGGAAUUUUGGACAAUGGGCGCAAGCCUGAUCCAGCCAUUCCGCGUGAGUGAAGAAGGCCUUCGGGUUGUAAAGCACUUUAGUUGGGGAAGAAAAGUAAUAAGUAAAUAAUUUAUUGCUCUGACGGUACCCAAAGAAUAAGCACCGGCUAACUCUGUGCCAGCCGCCGCCGUAACAC